rnacentral:rRNA from 1 species
GCCGCCGGAGGACCGUGUAAACCUUCCGAAUCGACGUCGUCCGAGUCCCAUCGUAAUCGAAUAAAAACUUUCAACAACGGAUCUCUUGGUUCUGGCAUCGAUGAAGAACGC